CGCGCCCCCUCCAGCCCGGCCCCUCUCCCGGCGGGGGCACAGCCCCUCUUCCCCAGCGGCGCUGCCGGCGGGGCCCCUUCCGGGACGCCGACCCGAGGUGGGGGGUGGCGGGGAGGGGAUGCGGUGCCGGAUUUCUCUUCCGGAUGGAGAAUGGCAGCUGCCCACCUGGGAGCCCCCUCCCCUGCUGACGACGACCAGACCCCCGCUCUGUCUGGGCUCUCAAAGCCACCCCACCCGCUACCCCCGUCCCGUCCAGGCCUCCAGCUUCUCACCUCGGUGACCUGGGCCUCCCUGCCAACUGCUGAUGUCCUUGCCCUGGGAGAAGCCAACCCCACCUGGCCCAGGGCUCCCCUGGCCCAGCCCCUGCCUUCUCCCUGGGGCGCCCUCCUAGGACACCCGGAUAGCUCUCACCAAAACCUGGUGGCCUCCUGCGCCCUGGCCCUGGCUGCCACAGGAGAGAACCACCCCACCAGGCCACCCUCCUCUUGGCCAGCCUGCACUUGGAGAAACCUGCCCAGCAGGCAGCUCUUGAUCAAAGUCCCCUCACGGAGACCAUGACACUUAAGGGCCCUGAAGAAGGGGGUUUCACCAGGUAAGCCAGGAGGCUGCCUCUGUGCGGUGGGGUCCACUCGGGACCUCCUGGGCAGGCCACACUGCCGGUGGGCACCAGGUCUGGGGGUGCCUGAGCGAGGCGGUGGGAGUCAUCAGUGUGGUCACAGCUCUGGCCGAGAGGCCGGCCCCUCCAGCUGGCCUCCCCAGGGUUGCGUCAGGGUUCACGGCUCACACCGUGACCUCAGAGCAAAUCAGGGAUAAAGGGGACCCUGGGUUUGUGCCUGCUGCACGCGAGGCCUCAGGUCUCAGGUGCAGGGCAGGGGGCUCUUCUCCUGGGACCCAGGGCGAGAGCACCUGACGCUCGGCACAGCCCUCCGAUCCAGUGCGUCUGCCCAGCCUCCCCUGGGGCCGGGGCAGCUGAGGGGCCACCUCGUGCCCGCGGGAAACAACCCGGAACAGCAGGAUGGGACACGGCUCAGGGACCCUCUCAGCCGUAUUCCCUGCAAAGACACGAUGCAUGCCUGCCCAUCCUCCCCCUGGAUGCCCAACACCCGUAGGGGUCACAGACUCCCAGCUGGGCCGGAGCACCGGGCAGGACCCUCCAACUGAGGGAGCCCGCAGGGGCUCACGGUGACCUGGGCCCACUCUCAGCUCGGGCCCCAUAAAUCCUGGGGCUAAGAAGACAAGAUGGGAAGGGGCAGAGGGCUCGGAAGAACCCCUCUGACCCAGCCACUUCCCGCCAAGCCUGGGAGCCAUGUCAAAGUCACGGGAACCCUCGGCCUGGCAUCCCAGCAACUCAGUCCCCCUCCAGCUUGUGACCUGCCACUUCUGACCUCCCCUGAUUCCAGGCCCCAGGGGGCGCACUGAGCAGGAUGGUGGCGUAGAAGCAGAGGCAGGGACCGGCACCCUCCGCUCCGCUGCCCAGGGAGCUGCAGGCAGCCAGCCCGCUGCCUGGGGAGGACGGUCUCCCCACCGGCCACUGUCCAGGUGCCUCCGCCCACCCCUGCCCUCGCCAACCCAGCAGGAUAAAAGCAUCUGGCCCAAAGGAACUGAAAGCAGAGACUGGAACAGAAUCUGGCGUGCCCCUGCGCUCGGCUGCUUGCUCGUGACAGCCAGAAGGUGGCGCAACUCGUGUCCGUUCACAGAGUGGGUGACAAAAUGUGGUGUAGCCACAGACGAAAUAUUAUUUGGCCUUCAUGAGUAACCAAGGAUGGCACCUGCUAUGGUGAGGAGGAACCAGCCUCGCAAACGCCACGCCGAUCGGAGCGAGAGCAGCCGGGCUUGAAAGGACACUGUGACUCUCUCCCCACAGGCGUCAGAUUCAGAGACAGAGCAGAAGAGUGGGUACCGGGGGCGGGGCUGGGGAGUCUGUGUCCACUGGGGACAGUGGUUCGGGGGGGGGGGAAGACAAGAAAGUUUUGGAGACGGACGGCGUGGACAGCUGCACAACAGUGUGAAUGUGUUUCAUGACUCUGAGCUGUAUGCAAAAGCAGCUAAAAUGCUAAAUCUUUUCAUGCAUAUUUUGUCACCAAAAAAGCAAGCCCCCCCAACAUUUGCAACAUGCAUAUACUACACA